UGAGCCUAUGCAAAUAAAACACCAAGUACUGUGGACAAAAACUUACAAACAGGUACAAAAAUCCUCUUUUGCAACCUAGAACUCACUGUUCAGUAUGAGUUUUGAUACAGAUAAGAAGGAACAUG
rnacentral:snoRNA from 1 species